GACGAACGCUGGCGGCGUGCUUAACACAUGCAAGUCGAACGGAAAGGCCCUGCUUUUGUGGUGUGCUCGAGUGGCGAACGUGUGAGUAACACGUGAGUAACCUGCCCUUGACUUUGGUAUAACUUCAGGAAACUGGGUCUAAUACCGGAUAGGAGCUCCUUCUGCAUGGUGGGGGUUGGAAAGUUUCGGCGGUUGGGGAUGGACUCGCGGCUUAUCAGCUUGUUGGUGGGGUAGUGGCUUACCAAGGCUUUGACGGGUAGCCGGCCUGAGAGGGUGACCGGCCACAUUGGGACUGAGAUACGGCCCAGACUCCUACGGGAGGCAGCAGUGGGGAAUAUUGAACAAUGGGCGGAAGCCUGAUGCAGCAACGCCGCGUGCGGGAUGACGGCCUUCGGGUUGUAAACCGCUUUCGCCUGUGACGAAGCGUGAGUGACGGUAAUGGGUAAAGAAGCACCGGCUAACUACGUG
rnacentral:rRNA from 1 species